rnacentral:rRNA from 1 species
UACGGAGGGGGCAAGCGUUGUCCGGAAUUACUGGGCGUAAAGGGUGCGUAGGCGGUCUUGUGCGUCGGUGGUGAAAGCGCCCGGCUUAACCGGGCGAGGCGUGCCGAUACGAUAAGACUGGAGGGGCAGCGAGGGUGGCGGAACUCCUGGUGUAGUGGUGAAAUGCGCAGAUAUCAGGAGGAACACCGGUGGCGAAGGCGGGUCUCUGGGCCGUAACUGACGCUGAGGAGCGAAAGCGUGGGGAGCGAACAGG